AAUGGGAAUCUCUUAGUAAUGGCGAAUGAAAAGAGAUGUGCUUAGCGUCAAAAUCAGGUUUCCUGACUUGUAGGCUGUAGGGGUUAUGCCAACUUGGGUGCAGGUGCAAGUCUCUUGGAAAGGAGCACCAGUGAGGGUCAGGGUCCCGCCUGUCAUCUGUCAUCCCUUGUAGACGGUUUGCCCAUUGAGAGUCGUGUUCUUCUGGAAUAGAGCGCCAAACGGGUGGUACUCUUUGCCUAAGGAGCAUUACGUGCUUGAGACCAAUAGUGAACAAGUACCAUGAGGGAAGGAUGAAAAGGACUUUGGAAAGAGGGUUAAGAGGGCAUGAAGCUGCUGGAAGGGAAGUGGAUUGGACUUUUGUUUGUGGUAAGAUUGCAGGGUGCAGCUCUCACUUGUGAGGACCUGCGCUCUGUGUCUCUUGCUACUCGGUUGGGCUCUGUGUGGCGCUCAGAAUCUUAGCGUGGAUUGGCUUGACGGUUGCGGCCUGAUCCAUAUCCUUGCCUACUCUUGGUGCAACAUAAUUGCUUGACCAAAUAGUUCAAUUUUACCCGUCUUGAAACACGGACCAAGGAGUCUAAUGCGUGUGCGAGUGUAAGGGAUUGACACCUGACAGCUCAACAAAUGUGACUGCUGGGAUUCUUGCACCAGCAACCAACUGAUCGCUUAGGAGAUGUUUGUGUAUGAGCACACUUGCUAGGACCCGAAAGGUGGUGAACUAUGCCUGAGAAGGGUGACGUCAGGGGAAACUCUGAUGGAAGCUCGUAGCGCUACUGACGUGCAAARCGUUCGUCUGACU
rnacentral:rRNA from 1 species